rnacentral:rRNA from 1 species
GAACGCUGGCGGCAUGCUUAAUACAUGCAAGUCGCACGGGCAGGGGCAACUCUGUCAGUGGCGGACGGGUGAGUAACGCGUAGGUAUCUAUCCUGAGGUGGGGGACAACCGUGGGAAACUACGGCUAAUACCGCAUGAUGCCCGAGGGCCAAGGGCGCAAGUCGCCUUGGGAGGAGCCUGCGUCCGAUUAGCUUGUUGGUGGGGUAACGGCCUACCAAGGCUCCGAUCGGUAGCUGGUCUGAGAGGAUGAUCAGCCACACUGGGACUGAGACACGGCCCAGACUCCUACGGGAGGCAGCAGUAGGGAAUAUUGGACAAUGGGCGAAAGCCUGAUCCAGCAAUGCCGCGUGGGUGAAGAAGGUCUUCGGAUUGUAAAGCCCUUUCGGCGGGGACGAUGAUGACGGUACCCGCAGAAGAAGCCCCGGCUAACUUCGUGCCAGCAGCCGCGGUAAUACGAAGGGGGCUAGCGUUGCUCGGAUUGACUGGGCGUAAAGGGCGCGUAGGCGGCUUGUACAGUCAGACGUGAAAUUCCUGNGCUUAACC